AAUAAAUUAGUUCCUGGUUCUAACACUUCUCUUUUCUCGUCAAAAGCGCUGCGAUCGCUGAUAUUGUUGGCUGGUGUUGAUGUUGAUGGUUGGUGUGAUUAAUAAAUUCGUAAAUGUGUCUUCCAUUCCAAUCAUUUCAAGACCGGUUAAAGGCACAAGAACUAAAAGUGGAUCUACUAUUAAUAAUGGAAAGAACUAUUAAGUUUCUCAAAAAAGAAUCUGUCUAUACAAGGAAUGAUCAUAUUGCAAUACCAUGAUGUUAUGGAGAAGAUAUGCACUGGUUGGGACAGAAUUAAAUAAGUUCUGACACAAUGCAUGAAGAGUCACCAUAUGUAUGAAGCAGCUACUGUAGCAGAAAAGAGACCUCAAAUCAAACCAAAUUGAGAUAGCAGUAAUGUCCAGAUGAAGAGAUAAAAAGAGUUGUUUCCAAAUCCAGGACUAUAUUUUGAAUAUGUGUAACGAUGAAGCAGGACAGUUGUAGCAGAAACUGGAUGAAAUUUUACAAAAAUAGAAUAAAAUGUAUAAAAUUAAUAACAUGUAAAAUAAUACUUUUGUAUAAUAUUCGCUAUUUAUUAAUAAAAGUGUGAAAUAA